rnacentral:rRNA from 1 species
UACGGGGGGGAGCAAGCGUUGUUCGGAUUUACUGGGCGUAAAGGGCGCGUAGGCGGUCGUGACAAGUCACUUGUGAAAUCUCCGGGCUUAACUCGGAACGGUCAAGUGAUACUGUCGGACUAGAGUACAGAAGGGGCAACUGGAAUUCCCGGUGUAGCGGUGGAAUGCGUAGAGAUCGGGAAGAACACCGGUGGCGAAGGCGGGUCUCUGGGCCGAUACUGACGCUGAGGAGCGAAAGCGUGGGGAGCGAACAGGAUUGAGAA